rnacentral:sRNA from 1 species
GCUGGGCGUUGUGGUGGGUGCCUGUAGUCCCAGCUACUUGGGAGGCUGAGGUAGGAGGAUUGCUUGAGUCCAAAAGUUUGAGAUUGCUGUGAGCUGUGACACCAUGGCACUCUACCCAGGGUGACAGAGUGAGACCAUCUCAAAAAUAAAUAGAAAUUUUUUUUUUGAGACAGAGUCUCACUAUUUCACUCUUGGUAGAGUGCUGUGGCAUCACAGCUCACAGCAACCUCAAUCUCCUGGGCUCAAGUGAUUCUCUUGC